GUGGGGAGAGAGAUUCGGAAGAAAUGCUGACUUCCUCUGCAGCCCAGCCCACUGAAUUUGUACGAGGCCGCCUACAAUUGACACGCCACAUUGCAUCAACCAAUGGUUGUGUGCCAUGUCACUGACAAUAAUAAAGUACACCUUUCAUGCAGAACGCUCCGUCUUCAGUCUUUCAAAUAAUAUGUGUAGAUAUUAAGGAGGCUGUAUGUUUGUAUUAUCACAGCACUAUAAGAAAAGGGGCUCCUCAAAAUCCAUUGUGAGACUAAAAACGUCCUAAGGCUCGUCAAUAACAACGACGAGACAGCCUAUAGACAGACAAGAAGCGCAGUGUCUAACAGCGAUGUGCAGUGGAAACAACCUGGAGCUGAACACAAAGAAAAGAAAGGACAUCAUAGAGGAUUUUAGAAAUGUUUUAUUUGUUCCAUUUGACUGUUUUACUGUAUACCUCUGUGUGCUAUGUAGGCCUAUUAUUUGUGAGAGAGCUCCAAAGAAUAAUUCCAAUUUUGACGCUCGAAAAGCGGCUUCACUCCGAGGAGCAGCUGUAGUGUUGCCGGUCCGGAGAAGAGAGGCUGGGCUCUGUGAGGACGAUGGUAGUCAGAGGCAGGAACAAGGCUGCGUUAUGACACCAGUGAAGCAGCGGAGCAGCUCUACUGUCUCGGGUGAAGCUCGUUUUGGCUCGGCGGACGAGUAUUCCACUUCAUUGUUUGAUCCGUGCAUAAUGCAAAAAGUCCUUAUAAAAGGUUAUGUUCGUGGGAGAGGUGAUCAACGCUGUUAUCAGGGCUGGUUUGGCACAAUUCUCUGUGAUGCAGUGGCUUUGGUAUAUUCAGUCUUUGUUCUGUUAGAAAACGAACUGUGCUCUGCAUUCUCAGUGUCUCGGUCUGACAAGACUCCCGACUCGACAGUGCUCUAGUAGGAUACAGUCAUCUCUCAAUAUCUACAACAACACUUAUUAGGAAGGUUAUCUGAAUGAAUUAGGAUAUGAAAUGGCAUGUCAAGUCAGUCACUAUAAAACCAAGCUGUAUUGGAUAGAAAAUAGUAGACAUUAAGUUAUCCUACCCAGACGAAGCAUACUACUAAUCUACUGGAGAAUUGUGUCUCACUUUUGUAAGUGAAUGGAAAUACAAGUCACUAUAAAACCAAGCUGUAUUGGAUAGAAAAUAGACAGUAAGUUAUCCUACCCGGACGAAUCAUACUACUAAUCUACAGGAGAAAUGUAUGUCUCACUUUUGUAAGUGAAUGGAAAUACAAGUCACUAUAAAACCAGCACUGCCUCUCUACUCACUGACACUGAGCUGUCCGAAGAAACCAGAAGAGAGCUGCCAACUGUCAUCAUCAGAAGAAGAACAAAUCAGCCAGAAGUCAGAAACACUCAGAUUGACUGCUGCUAAGGCUUGAACACUGCCAGAGAGAACUGCGUUGAUUAUGAAGGGGAAAAUAACCUUUACGGUUUUCCUACUUGCCCUUGUUGCAAAAUCCUUGGUGUCUCUUCCUAUCACUAUAACAGUGAUGUUGAAUCACCCAGUUACACCGCCCUGCUCUGGAUCAUGCCAUGGUGGCAGAAAUAAGAAGGGAAGGAAAGAACCAUAGAAUAAAUGGAACGUUCUGCUAUCACUCCGUGGAUCCAAGACCAAGAAAACACACAUCCCCUCAGGAAAAAACACUGGCAUGUCACGCUCUGCUCUGCCGUCGCUGCCAGCCACCAGCAUGACUGACACUUCAUCGGUGUCUCUCUACUGGCACUGUGCGAUAGUCUCGGCUCCCAUUGAGAACUUCACCCCUUACACACCUGCAUAGCUGAGUGGGGAGAUAGAUUCGGAAGAAAUGCAGAAAUAAGAAGUGAAAUACUCUCGUCCGCCGAGCUACAACCGAGAUAGUAGAGCUGCUCAUCAAUUUCGCUGGUGUCGUAAUGCAGCCGUGUUCCGGAUAUGAAUAGUGAACUCUUUUCAUAACAUCCUCUGUAAGCUAUUAUACAAUGGCAUUGUAUAAUGCCAUUACAGCUAGAGUGUAGUUUGCCUUGACAUGAAUAAAACCAAAUGAAUGAUCAGUCAGAGAUGUGUGUUGUGCUUUUAUUCAUAAUAUAUAUGAAACAUGACUGUAUAAGAUAGUCCUCCUGCACAUAUCACGCCAUUGGUGUUAGCCCAUAUAUGUCGCCCCAUAGGAAAAGUUAUACCAAUCCUUUAAGGACAUAUGAUUAUUCAACAUUAACUUCAACUGGGUUCUCCUGAUCAACACCUCGGUGCUUAACUGUGUGACAGUAGCAAGACUGUCAAUGUCUUCUUCCUCACAUCCCUCCGCAAGCCUCAGCCCAUGGAUGAGUUUGGUGUAUAUGUCCCAGAGUGUUGUUCCGUAGAUUAUGGUGAUGGAGAGAUGCCCGGUUAUUUCACCUAUGUUAUCAGAGGUGCUCUGGAUCAAGACUUUGAUGUGAGGCGUAUUUUCGUCUACAAUGGCAAUUCUAUACCUUGAUGUAUUUGUCUUGUGUAGUUGUUUACUGCACUCAUGUGUUAUUGUGUACCAAUGACACCGGCUUAUGUUAGACACCAAACAC
rnacentral:lncRNA from 1 species